rnacentral:rRNA from 1 species
GAGGGAAAGUUGAAAAGUACUUUGAAGAGAGAGUUCAAGAGGACGUGAAACCGGUAGGGUGGAAACGGAUAGAGCCAAUGAACAAGCUCGUAUUCAGCUAGUCGGCUGCGUGCGGCUUAGCCAUGCGUCCUUGUAUGGGGAGUGUGGUUGGGUGCAGUAUGCGGUUGGCUAGUGCAUUUGCGAGUGAUGUGCGCUGCGGCGUGUGGUGGAACCCUGCGAACUGUCUUUAGAGGACUACGCUUCGGCGUAGAAACCUGGAGGCGGGUAGUAGUGGUUUUCGCUGCACGUAGAUGAAACGGCUAGGUGUAUUCGCGCUGCCGUGUUGUGGUGGCUAGCCCUCUGGUCGGACGCAUGCGUCUAGGCCUUUGGGCUGGUCCUCGCGAUGCGGUAGCGCCCUAGCUGAUCCGCGGUGUAAAAGUUGGUCAUCUCUCCGACCCGUCUUGAAACACGGACCAAGGAGUCUAGCGUAUGCGCGAGUCAUUGGGUGGUAAACCCAUAGGCGUAAUGAAAGUGAAGGUUCAGCAAUGAACUGAUAUGCGAUCCGUUGGGCUACGGCCUACGCGGAGCAGCAUAGCCCCGUCUCAACCGCUUGCGGUAGGGCGGAGGUAGAGCGUAUUCGCUGGUACCCGAAAGAUGGUGAACUAUGCCUGAGCAGGAUGAAGCCAGAGGAAACUCUGGUGGAGGUCCGAAGCGCUUCUGACCGUGCAAAUCGAUCGUCUGACU